AACCACAAUGAAUGCCAUCCUGAACAAGCCCGAUCCCGUCUGAUCUCGGAAGCUAAGCAGGGUCGGGCCUGGUUAGUACUUGGAUGGGAGACAACCUAGGAAGACCAGGUACUGUAGGCG
ensembl:rRNA 5S_rRNA 5S ribosomal RNA